CGACCAGAUAACGUUGAAACACGAGAUCCUCAUCCGAUCACCGAAGGUAAGCAACAUUUAUCCUGAUCAGUACUUAGAUGGGUGACCGCGUGUAAGUAUCAAGUGCUGUAA